AACAUCGCGCACCUGCGGGAACCUGCGGAAGGAUCAUUACCGAAGUUACUCUUCAUACCCUUAUGUGAACCCUACCCCUCGCCGCGCGGUUGCCUCGGCGGGAGGUCGCGGAGCCCCGGCCCCGCGGCCCCCGCCGGCCGCGCCCAACUCUUCUUCUGCAAAGCGGACUGCAAGUUCUGAUUACAUCUUGAAAAACAAGUCAAAACUUUUAACAAUGGAUCUCAGAUCGGAAGAGCACAC
rnacentral:misc_RNA from 1 species